rnacentral:rRNA from 1 species
AAAAACAUCGCCUCCCGCAAACCCUACGUAUAGGAGGUCUUGCCUGCCCAGUGAACUAGUUUUAAACGGCCGCGGUAUCUUGACCGUGCAAAGGUAGCGCAAUCACUUGUCUUUUAAAUGAAGACCUGUAUGAAUGGUGGAACGAGGGCUUAACUGUCUCCCUCCUUAAGUCAGUGAAAUUGAUCUAUCCGUGCAGAAGCGGGUAUAAACAUACAAGACGAGAAGACCCUUUGGAGCUUAAGACACUAAGACCAAUUAUGUUAAAAAUUUAUAACAAAAUAAACUAAACCCAAUAGUACCUGGUCCCAGUCUUCGGUUGGGGCGACCGCGGGGGAAAACAAAGCCCCCAUGUGGAGUGGGAACCUCCCCUAAAACUAAGAGGGACACCUCUAAGACACAGAACAUCUGACCAUAAUAGAUCCGGCCUCACGGCCGAUCAACGGACCAAGUUACCCUAGGGAUAACAGCGCAAUCCCCUCCCAGAGUCCCUAUCGACAAGGGGGUUUACGACCUCGAUGUUGGAUCAGGACAUCCUAAUGGUGCAGCCGCUAUUAAGGGUUCGUUUGUUCAACGAUUAAAGUCCUACGUGAUCUGAG